rnacentral:misc_RNA from 1 species
AAGUCGUAACAAGGUUUCCGUAGGUGAACCUGCGGAAGGAUCAUUAACAAAUCAUGUUUGCGUAUGGGGUUUCCCUAUACGCAUAUCAACCCGACUCGGGUGUCCGAAAGGUAUUCGAGUCAAUCUUGAGGAGUGCGAAAGUGCUUCUCGAGACAUUUACGCUUGUAUUGUUUGACAGAGUAACAUGCCAAAUAAAAGAUACAACUUUUAACAAUGGAUCUCUUGGCUCUU